AGUGUGCUAGCUUGCUAGAAUUUAGAUACAGGUGCUGCACGGCUGUCGUCAGCUCGUGUCGUGAGAUGUUGGUUAAGUCCCGCAACGAGCGCAACCUCGUGUUAGUUGCUAACAGUUCGGCUGAGAACUCUAAACAGACUGCCUACGCAAGUAGGAGGAAGGUGAGGACGACGUCAAGUCAUCAUGGCCCUUACGGCCAGGGCUACACACGUGCUACAAUGGGGUAUACAAAGAGCAGCGAUACGGUGACGUGGAGCAAAUCUAGAAAAUGCCUCUCAGUUCGGAUUGUAGUCUGCAACUCGACUACAUGAAGUUGGAAUCGCUAGUAAUCGUAGAUCAGCAAUGCUACGGUGAAUACGUUCCCGGGUCUU
rnacentral:rRNA from 1 species